GGGCCAUCGGUUUGUGGCAGAAUAUCUGCUUUCCAUGCAGAAGGUCCUGGUUCAAGCCCCGGGGAUCUCCA